ensembl:lncRNA
CGCGAACGAGACAUACAAGGCGGUGAGGCUACCGCGGAUCGACCGCUGUUUGCUAACGCAGAGGUCAAUCGUGGAUCAGGGAAAGCGAAGGCAGGAGCGUGAGGUGAACUGAAUUUCAGGGACUGGGACUUCCUGGAAUCACUAAGAGGAGGGACGUAUCACAGAGAAGGUGCCUGGCUUUCUACGGGUUUUAAACCAAACUGAAAACCCCUCCGUCUCUAGCUUCAUGUCUGCCAGUUAAAAGAAGAAAUAACAACAGGAGAAGAUGAUCUGCAGGAUCCUGCUGCUCAUCAUCCUCCCCUCAUGUGUCUGUGGAUCAUUUGUAGUCAAUGUGACACAGACCUCCUAUCAGGCAGAGGAGAACCACAACAUCACACUGGAGUGGACGUUCACCACCAAACCUGACAGAUCCAACAAAACCCUCAACAUCUUUUGUGAAGUCUUCAUCAGUGAUAACGUCUCAGUCCUGUAUCAUGUUCAUGAAGGUGUUGAGGUGUCAGAGUCUCAGGAUGCAAAGUUUUCAGGACGAGUCCAGAGUGACAAAGACGCCCUCAGAGAAGGACGAAUCAGACUUCAACUGUCCAGACUCAGGACUGAUGACUCGGGUCUGUACCUGUGUGAGGUCAACACUGAUUAUGGCUUCAGUGUUGGAAGAUGUCGACUCAACGUCACUGGAGCCAAAAAUUCAAAGGAGAAGUACUGGGAGAAAGUUAAAAAUGCUUUAGCAGGUGGACAGAUUGCAGUUAUAAUACUUGCUGGAUUGAUGGUCCUAUUAGGUGAAAUAGUUGACCCUAAAUUCCUCAUUAACAAAGGAGUAAGAGAAGAGGCCGCAUCAGAUGCAGAUGAAACAACAGUUCCUCUUCAAUUAUUGGCAGACGAUGGCUCAGAGGGCUGUGAAGUCACACAUCUAGAAGCAUAAGGCCUGCUGGUGAAGCCUAGAUGUUCUGCAACAAGAGUGUUUGUGUGUGAGAGAAAGCCAUGGAGGAGAAUCUGGAUUUACUAAUGGAUCGACUUCCCUGAAGGCUCUUUGUAAAUAGAGGCAGUGAAUUAUCCCCUACUUGUAAAGUCUGUAAAUACUUUAUAUCUGUGUGCACUGUAAAUAAACUCUCUAAACCUGC